AUUAUACAAAUUGUAUGGCUGACAGUAAGGAGAAUGACAAAUUUGAUCUGGGAUUUAAAGGGUUAAUACGUAGGUACGUACGUUUUUGAUUGAUGCGCCUCCUUUAGUCUGUAAAGUAGAAGGUAGUUCCCAAUACUCCCGACGUGUGGCUUCGAAGCUCACGUGGUGGUAGUAAUUGCUAAAAUUACAGAUUGCCUGUGGGAUCAUUUCUUUGCUUAAUAUUUAUUUUGUAGGUCAAAUGAAAGUUAUUUUUAUGACAAGCUAUUAAAGUAGAUAGUCUCGAUAGAAAUUUUGUCCUCCACAGGCACCUCAGUUUUUUUGGGUAACUAUAUUUAAGAUCAUGAUUUGGGCUAAAGCACGUGUUUUUGUUUGUUUUUUUAAGGAAAUGAGUAUGGACAGUGUGGGUUGAGUUUUAGUCCAUACAUAUGUACUGACGAUGAAAAUUAUUAAUUUCAAAAGUAUACCUCAAACACUCGAUGUACCAACUCAGCUGACAUACGAAUAUUAAAAUAACAGCAUCUGCAAAUACUUAAUUAAAAAAAUUAAAAAAACAAGUAUUUGUGAAACGAAAGAAUCGGUGCUUAAAGAAUGGUAUAGACAAUUUCAGUUUGCAACGAGAUGCUUGCCUUCUCAUGCUUUGCGCUAUAACGCCUUAGGGUGUCAUCUUUCAAUCUCGUCAUGAUUCCCCCUCAUGACUGUCACGUGCACCUCUGGCUCUAAAGGUCUUUAAAUAUUUAGCUAGUUGGAAAGCUCUGAGACCUCAGUGUAGCCGGGCGAAUGGAAGUCAAGUUUUCAGUGAACAUGUCUACGUUUACAGUUCUGGUUCAUCUCCUAAUCUGUUUCACGUACAGUGCAGCAGACGACAACAAACCGGAACAAAUUCACAUCGCUUACACCGGUAUUUCCAGCGAGAGAAUUGUGAAUUACGUGACGCCGUCGCCGGAAUUACAACCAGAGACAGUCGUGGCUUAUGGAACUAGCCCAGAUAAGUUAACCAGAAAGGAAACUGGAACAUCGUUUAUGUUCGGCACCCACGGACAUUAUUUUAGAAUUCAUAACGUGAAGUUAACAGGUCUUGAGCCUAACACGCGUUACUACUACCAAGUUGGUGUACCAGACAAUGGAACCAGUGAAGUCAUGUCUUUCUUUACUAAAGAAGGCAACCCAGUUUUCGCAAUAUAUGGAGAUAUGGGCUACACAAAUGCUGUAAGCCUGAAUCGACUUAUCAAGGAAGCAAGCGAUGGAGAUUUUGACGCUGUAAUUCACGCUGGAGACCUUGCUUAUGAUAUGUAUGAAAAAUACGGAACCACUGGAGAUGAGUUUAUGAACUCUAUACAACCCAUAGCCACGAAAGUCCCCUACAUGGCUCUACCAGGAAAUCACGAGCAAAUGUAUAACUUCACUCACUUCGUUCACCGCUUCUCUAAUAUGGAGCUAGGCGUUGGAGAGACGAGCGGAAGUGGAACCAGUCUUUGGUGGAGUAUGGACAUAGGACUUAUUCAUUUCGUGGCAUUCGACUCGGAGGUCUACUACUAUUAUUCCAAUAAGGGUCAAAUUCAGAGACAACUUAAUUGGCUCGAGGCUGACUUAAUCAAGGCAAACCAAAACAGAGAGAGGACACCAUGGAUAGUUUCCCUUGCCCACAAGUCAUGGUUCAUGGAGAAGACGGAUUUUUCUGUUUUUGGUCCACUUUUACAUAAGUAUGGUGUGGACUUACAUCUAUGCGGCCACGCACACAACUAUCAGCGGCUCUACCCAACUUACAACGACAGUGUGGAGUAUCCAACAGACAAUCAUGUUUAUGUAAAUCCUAAGUUCAAGACAGUCAUUGUCGCGGGAUCUGCUGGAUCUCACGAAAAACUCUCCAACUGGACUCGUGCGCCUGACAGAAUGUCGGCAAAAUACAUCUACGACUAUGGCUUACGGCGGCAAAGUGGAUAUUCAAACAGAAGAACAUGUAUAUACUAACCCUGAUUACAUAACGAUCAUUGUGGCCGGAUCUGCGGGCUCAAGGGAAAAGCUGUCCGGUGGUACAGCUCCCCCAAAAGAUCUGGCAAAAUACAUCGAAGAUUAUGGCUAUGGUCACCUACAGGCAAUCAACAAGACUCAUCUGUACUGGAGCUGGGAGAACACACACGAAAACGUCCGGCCUGCAAUGCAAGACUACCUUUGGAUCGUUCAGGAGCAUCAUGGCCCUCGGCCAAGCUUCUUUAA
rnacentral:misc_RNA from 1 species